rnacentral:rRNA from 1 species
CGGGGUACUCGAGCGGCGAACGGGUGAGUAACACGUGAGCAACCUGCCCCAGGCUUUGGGAUAACCCCGGGAAACCGGGGCUAAUACCGAAUAUGACCUCUGACCGCAUGGUUGGUGGUGGAAAGUUUUUCGGCUUGGGAUGGGCUCGCGGCCUAUCAGCUUGUUGGUGGGGUGAUGGCCUACCAAGGCGACGACGGGUAGCCGGCCUGAGAGGGCGACCGGCCACACUGGGACUGAGACACGGCCCAGACUCCUACGGGAGGCAGCAGUGGGGAAUAUUGCACAAUGGGCGGAAGCCUGAUGCAGCGACGCCGCGUGAGGGAUGACGGCCUUCGGGUUGUAAACCUCUUUCAGCAGGGACGAAGCGUAAGUGACGGUACCUGCAGAAGAAGCGCCGGCCAACUACGUGCCAGCAGCCGCGGUAAGACGUAGGGCGCGAGCGUUGUCCGGAUUUAUUGGGCGUAAAGAGCUCGUAGGCGGCUUGUCGCGUCGACCGUGAAAACUUGGGGCUCAACCCCAAGCCUGCGGUCGAUACGGGCAGGCUAGAGUUCGGUAGGGGAGACUGGAAUUCCUGGUGUAGCGGUGAAAUGCGCAGAUAUCA